rnacentral:rRNA from 1 species
GGGUCAGUAGGUUGGUCGUGCCACCGGUACGUACUGGUCUCACUGAUUCCUCCUUCCUGAAGAACCGUAAUGCCAUUAAUUUGGUGUUGCGGGGAAACAGGACUGUUACUUUGAAAAAAUUAGAGUGUUUAAAGCAAGCUAACGCUUGAAUACAUUAGGAUGGAAUAAUGUAAUAGGACGAUCGAUCCUAUUUUGUUGGUUUCUAGGAUUGACGUA